GAAGAGGAGAGGUUGAGCAUGUGCAUCACUGCCGUGCAGGAAGACGAUGUAUCUGAGCCUGCUGCCGCCGCCCCAUCGCAGGAAGAGGCGCCCUCAUAGGUUCUCGAGGCCGAAGGCGACCACAAGAGAAACCUCGAGGAGGUGAGGUGAACGACACAGGGGAGGACGCCAACCGACUGCGCGUGGAAGACUGGAAGCCAACGUGCAGUGAGCAACGGUCGAUGACUAGGGCGACAUCCACAGCAAGGCGGAGCAGGCAUAAUGUUGUCGGCUGCCACAAGAGCAAAAGUCCGUCGGGCGGUGCCUCUGUGGGGUCUCCCAGCC